GCUUUACACAUGCAAGUCGUACGAGAGUUUUUAACUCAAGUGGCGGACGGGUGAGUAACACGUAAGAAACCUGCCCUACAGACGAGGAUAACUAUUGGAAACGAUAGCUAAUACUGGAUAGCACACGAGAUCGCAUGAUCUUGUGUUUAAAGGCGCUCAUGGCGCUACUGUAGGAUGGUCUUGCGUCGCAUUAGCUUGUUGGUGAGGUAACGGCUCACCAAGGCGACGAUGCGUAGCUGGUCUGAGAGGAUGAAC
rnacentral:rRNA from 1 species